AAUUCCAAAGAAGACAGAAGCAGGAGGUGCUUCGCUGCUCCCUCCUUCCUCUGAAGAUUCAACGCUCCUGUUCUCAGUACUUGGGCCAUGACCAUCACUGGCCCCCAGGGGCCGUUCUGAGCUCAGGGUCAGGACCUUGGUCAUAUCAGCAGCACAGCCAAGAGAGGAGGAGGAAGAGCAGGAAUGUUGCCACGACUUGGAAUCUGGGCACUCUGGGGGUGAGGUCACUGAUGUUUGUGAAGCUUCAAUGAGAGAUUCUGGACCAUCUUCAGAUUCCCUGUGUUGCAACUGAAGACACUCUGGAGACUGGGAUGAGAGGAUAUGAGUAUUUGAGACUGAGUGGUCCUCUGAUUCACUAUCAUCAUCUUCAUUAUAGAACUCGGCCAAAUGCUCAGAGGGACAAAGUUCCUGGGAACCUUCUGAACCUGACCAGAGAGGACCGUGUGCAGGGUCUUCAGCUUGUGGUUCCAUUUCUUGUGCUGGUUCACUAUGUCCAAUGUCUUUUUCCUUCAUCAAGACAAAGAUAUGUCUAAGUUAACAUCAGAUAACCUUUUCACAUGAAGUGUGGAUUAUUAUUUAUAAAUAUAACUUUGAACAGUGCAAAUUGUGGCAGCAUCAUGGAGGGGAGAUGUAUGUAAUUCAUAGCAAAGUCCAAAAUCCCAAAGUAACUUAGAAACUAUAUCAAAUGAUAAACAAUAAAAAAAUAUAUAACGUCUUGCAGAAGGAUUAUUCAACAGCAGGAUUAUUCUAGUAGAAUGUAGAUAAACAGAAAUCAUUUACAUAUUCAGUUUUCACCAGGGGAGAAUUAUGUUGCUCUUUUAACAUAACAUACAAAAAUGUAAUUCCUCAAGUUAUUCCAGACCCAAAUUGGAAAGGGCAACUUUGGUCUGGCAGUUUCGUCAGGGCUGUAAAUGGAAUGGUAUGUAAUACCAGGAGAGAGAAAGCAGCAUUCAUGUCCAAGAGUAUAAGCAAAACAAUUGGGUGGCUGUUUCCCCAACUCUUGUUUACACAGCAAGGUUUUUCCCCCCACUGUUCCCAUUUAUCUCUGCAACUAGCCUCUGUACUGCUGCAGCUGUCAGCAUGCCCAUUUAAGAUGUGGUAGAGACUCUGUGACUUUUCUGCAUUAUAUAGAUCCUCUUUUACUCAACUCAAUCCCUGAUUUGCAAAUUAAUACAUUUUUCCCUGAUUUGCAAAUUAAUACAUUUUAACUGUUGAUUGCAAAAUAUAGUCUUAAACCACUGCCAAACAUCCAACACAUUUAUUAAAAAAUAAAGGAAUGCAAAUGUAA